rnacentral:rRNA from 1 species
AGGCCGGGGCGGCCGUGCUUACACAUGCAGUCGAACGGUGAAGCCAAGCUUGCUUGGUGGAUCAGUGGCGAACGGGUGAGUAACACGUGAGCAACCUGCCCUGGACUCUGGGAUAAGCGCUGGAAACGGCGUCUAAUACUGGAUAUGAGACGUGAUCGCAUGGUCGUGUUUGGAAAGAUUUUUCGGUCUGGGAUGGGCUCGCGGCCUAUCAGCUUGUUGGUGAGGUAAUGGCUCACCAAGGCGUCGACGGGUAGCCGGCCUGAGAGGGUGACCGGCCACACUGGGACUGAGACACGGCCCAGACUCCUACGGGAGGCAGCAGUGGGGAAUAUUGCACAAUGGGCGAAAGCCUGAUGCAGCAACGCCGCGUGAGGGAUGACGGCCUUCGGGUUGUAAACCUCUUUUAGCAGGGAAGAAGCGAAAGUGACGGUACCUGCAGAAAAAGCGCCGGCUAACUACGUGCCAGCAGCCGCGGUAAUACGUAGGGCGCAAGCGUUAUCCGGAAUUAUUGGGCGUAAAGAGCUCGUAGGCGGUUUGUCGCGUCUGCUGUGAAAUCCCGAGGCUCAACCUCGGGCCUGCAGUGGGUACGGGCAGACUAGAGUGCGGUAGGGGAGAUUGGAAUUCCUGGUGUAGCGGUGGAAUGCGCAGAUAUCAGGAGGAACACCGAUGGCGAAGGCAGAUCUCUGGGCCGUAACUGACGCUGAGGAGCGAAAGGGUGGGGAGCAAACAGGCUUAGAUACCCUGGUAGUCCACCCCGUAAACGUUGGGAACUAGUUGUGGGGACCAUUCCACGGUUUCCGUGACGCAGCUAACGCAUUAAGUUCCCCGCCUGGGGAGUACGGCCGCAAGGCUAAAACUCAAAGGAAUUGACGGGGACCCGCACAAGCGGCGGAGCAUGCGGAUUAAUUCGAUGCAACGCGAAGAACCUUACCAAGGCUUGACAUAUACGAGAACGGGCCAGAAAUGGUCAACUCUUUGGACACUCGUAAACAGGUGGUGC